rnacentral:lncRNA from 10 species
UUCUGACAGGAGGAGUCACAUGCCUAGGAAGUAUCCUAACAGGAUGAUGCAGCAUGAAGGCCCCCCUCAGAUGCUGGUGCAAUGAUCUUGGACUUCCCAACCUCCAGAACCAUGAGCCAAACAAAUUUCUAUUGUUUAUAAAUUACCCCGUCUCAAGUAUUCUGUUAUAGCAACACAACUGGACUAAGACAGAGGGUUACACGUAUCUUUCACAGGAAUUCCUUGGGGCUUAAUACAAAUCCUUGAGAGUUCUAGCCCAGAUGCAGCCUAGAAAUGUGAAGAUGAAGGAGGUAGGUAGUAGGGUUGUUAUUAAUCCUAGGGGAAACCCUCCACUAUGGGAUUCUGAAAUCAGCAGAUAAAUGCUGCAGCCCCCAGACUUGUGAAGAAAUUUUUGAGAUUCAUCUUCUCUGGUUCUUCAGCACAUCACCAAGGCAUGGACCUGCAGUUGGCUCCAGCUAUAACUAGCUCAAUGAUGCAUCCUUCACUGUUUUUCUUUCUUUCCCCAUUUUUCUCUGUAUGUUUCCUUACUUUAGCUUCCUGGGAUCAACUCCCAAAUAAGCUACCUGAAGCCAACUGUUUGCCCAAUACACUUUCUUCAGGAAACCCAGUCUGAGACAUAAGAAAACAAAUCAAAUGCUAAUUCAGUGGUUCAGUUGGUAAAAAUAACAGAGACUCAGCCUAGUUGGCACUAGUGGAGAUAAAGAAAAGAGGACAACUUUGUUAUGCAUUUUAUAGACAGUCAUGAGGCAUGCAAAUUGGUGUAAUGUAUGCAGAAAAAGAAAGGGAAAUUUUCAGUGUGAUACUACAGUUAGUCCACUGUAUACCUAGAAUUGUCUUUUUCAGAGAAAGAUGGUGGCCUUUGGAAAAGGUACAGAUUUGGGAGGAAGAUCGUUAAUUCAAUUUGGGCAUGUUAUGUCCAAACUACAUUAAAUACUUGAGAACUAUUUCUUUAAUAAUGGAUGAGUGAAGUCAGUUCAUUUCCAAGCUUCUUAUUUGUCUUAUCUGUGAAAGAAAAAUUGUGAUGUCUAGUACCCAGAUAUGUAAAAAGUAAAUGUAAUCUACCACAUUAAAGCUCAAAAUGCUCGAUGUUUUUGCAAAUAUAAAAUAAUGUGACUUACUUUAAAGAUAAUAAAUUAAAUAUUAAAC